CCUGGUGGCGCAGUGGUUACGCAUUUGGCUGCUAACCAAAAGGUCGGCAGCUGCUCUUGGAAACCCUAUGGGGCAGUUCUACUCUGUCCUAUAGGG
rnacentral:tRNA from 1 species